rnacentral:lncRNA from 1 species
AUUUUUACCUGAUAUUGUAUAUUAUGGUGGAGCUCAGUUGUUUUGUUCUGUAGUGAAGCAAUGUGUGCAUUUGUUUGUGUUGUGCAGUGAUGAUGUUUUUAGUUAAUAGGCUUAAUGUGGUAAAGGGAGGAAUGUUUAUAUAACUUUGUAUAUGUUUUGGCAUUUAUUGUUUAGCAAGGAACUUGUCGAUAUAGCUUUAUGAAACUUGGUUAUGUGAGAGUGAUUGUGUAUAUUUUAUUGCGUAGUUAUGUGGCUUUGGUUGGGUAGUUACUGAGUUGCGUGAGAGUUUGUGGGAUGUAAUUGGCUUGUGUAUGUUCUGAUCAUUUGUAACGUCUGACACAAUUAUUAGAGGAUAUGUAUAUGAGCAAUAAUAAGCAAGCCGUUUUGAUUACAUCCCACACAAUUAUUGUGGGAUGUAACUGGUUUGUGUAUGUUCCGAUCAUUUG